UACGUAGGGUCCUAGCGUUGUCCGGAAUUAUUGGGCGUAAAGAGCUCGUAGGCGGUCUGUCGCGUCGGCUGUGAAAUCCCGAGGCUCAACCUCGGGUCUGCAGUCGAUACGGGCAAACUAGAGUAUUGCAGGGGAGACUGGAAUUCCUGGUGUAGCGGUGAAAUGCGCAGAUAUCAGGAAGAACACCCGUGGCGAAGGCGGGUCUCUGGGCCGAUACUGACGCUGAGGAGCGAAAGCGUGGGGAGCGAACAGG
rnacentral:rRNA from 1 species